rnacentral:misc_RNA from 1 species
UCUCCGUUGGUGAACCAGCGGAGGGAUCAUUACCGAGUUUACAACUCCCAAACCCAAUGUGAACGUUACCACACUGUUGCCUCGGCGGGGUCACGCCCCGGGUGCGUCGCAGCCCCGGAACCAGGCGCCCGCCGGAGGAACCAACCAAACUCUUUCUGUAGUCCCCUCGCGGACGUUAUUUCUUACAGCUCUGAGCAAAAAUUCAAAAUGAAUCAAAACUUUCAACAACGGAUCUCUUGGUUCUG